rnacentral:rRNA from 1 species
AGUGAACGCUGGCGGUAGGCCUAACACAUGCAAGUCGAACGGCAGCACAGUAAGAGCUUGCUCUUACGGGUGGCGAGUGGCGGACGGGUGAGGAAUACAUCGGAAUCUACUUUUUCGUGGGGGAUAACGUAGGGAAACUUACGCUAAUACCGCAUACGACCUACGGGUGAAAGCAGGGGAUCUUCGGACCUUGCGCGAUUGAAUGAGCCGAUGUCGGAUUAGCUAGUUGGCGGGGUAAAGGCCCACCAAGGCGACGAUCCGUAGCUGGUCUGAGAGGAUGAUCCGCCACACUGGAAGUGAGACACGGCCCAGACUCCUACGGGAGGCAGCAGUGGGGAAUAUUGGACAAUGGGCGCAAGCCUGAUCCAGCCAUACCGCGUGGGUGAAGAAGGCCUUCGGGUUGUAAAGCCCUUUUGUUGGGAAAGAAAAGCAGCAGGUUAAUACCCCGCUGUUCUGACGGUACCCAAAGAAUAAGCACCGGCUAACUUCGUG